UCCUUUAAUUUAGUUGGUCUAUUCUCUUAUUUUGGCUGAUGCAGCUCAGGAUUGUAAUAAAAAAUUGUCAUUAUCUUGUGGCUGCUCAGUGCUUGUAUGACAAGUUUUAUAUUCUCAAUUUCCAGUGGACCAUCAGGAAUCUGUCCUUUCACUGAAGGAACACCACAUGUCAGUGGCCUGGGUUUCUGAGAGGAAUUUACCGUGACGCUUCAGCCAACAGGAACAUGCAAACACUGGGGCAACUUUAUACAUCCUUUCUUCAGGAAAACAGCUGGAGAAAUCAAUGGCUGUUUGUUGAACUGAAGCUGCCAGAAUUUGAUUUCAGCCUUCUCUGUGCCUGAGGUGAAGAUUGACCUUCUUUUGUGGGGUUAAGAGAAACAGAUGGAAAAAGAUGUUUUAGAAAUGUCCACGGUGGCGCCGAGAAAUACUUGCUGAAGACUUUUCCUUGGAUAAAUCAAUUAUCAUCUAAGGCAC